GCCUUCAGCUCAAAAUCAACGAAUAUCACCUGAACCAGCCAUAGAAAAUGAACCGAGUACAUGUGAACAUAUAUGCACCAUGAUGGAGUUCCCAGCCAGUCCAGUCCAAAGCGGCACUUUGUUGCUGGUUGGCCGCUACGUUCAUUCUUCGGAUUUGUUUUGUCUGGUUUUGGAUCCAGAGUCUUCCGACGAGUGCAGUCAGGAUGCUGAUGUUGCUGCUAUAUGUGAUGCCUGCGUAGAAGCCACACAAUUGAAUGCCCCUGAUGAAAAUGCACCGCAAAAGAAAAGAAAGCAGGAAAAGGUCGGAACGAACGGUUACUAUUCUCAACAGGGCUCCAACCCGUAUGGGACGAACAACGGCAAGCAAUCAGCCCGGGGAGUAAGUGUCCCCAACACGCCGAAUAGAAGAACUAGCGAAACUCACCCUCAUAGUGGGGCUGGUAAACGCACUGGUAAUGGGGGUGGUAACGUCAUUUCUACUGACAAUGUAAGCAGAGGAAACGGCAAAAGCAAACAGAUGGUCGAUUUUAAUGGCAGCACUAAACACGACUUUCGUCAAUAUAUGUUUGUUAGCAGGGGCACCCAAGUGGGUCUCAAAUGAUAGGUGUUUUAUAAGUUAGGCUAACGCUGUAGGAAGUGACGCAACCGUCGGGAAUACAGCAUCAAUUACAUUCAACCAAUCGUAGACCAAAAAAGCUGAAACUAGUGUGUACGUCUUUGACCCAAAUUACUAACUCUGAUAAAUAAACAGUAUUAUUGUAA